rnacentral:rRNA from 1 species
CCUACGGGUGGCAGCAGUGGGGGAUAUUGCACAAUGGGGGGAACCCUGAUGCAGCGACGCCGCGUGGGGGAAGAAGCGCCUCGGCGCGUAAAGCUCUGUCAGCAGGGAAGAAAAUGACGGUACCUGAAGAAGAAGCCCCGGCUAACUACGUGCCAGCAGCCGCGGUAAUACGUAGGGGGCAAGCGUUAUCCGGAUUUACUGGGUGUAAAGGGGGCGCAGACGGGGAUGCCAGCCAGGAGUGAAAGCCCGGGGCCCAACCCCGGGACUGCUCGUGGAACUGCGUGGCUGGAGUGCAGGAGGGGCAGGCGGAAUUCCUGGUGUAGCGGUGAAAUGCGUAGAUAUCAGGAGGAACACCGGUGGCGAAGG